rnacentral:misc_RNA from 1 species
UCUCCGUUGGUGAACCAGCGGAGGGAUCAUUACCGAGUUUUCAACUCACCCAAACCCCUGUGAAUCUACCUCUGUUGCUUCGGCGGAUCCGCCCCGGUGCUCCCUUUCGGGGGGCGUCGGACCCAGGCGCCCGCCGAGGACCCUUCUAAUUCUUGUAUUCUAAAUUGCCUCAGACCCUGCGUACGCGCAACAAACAUUACAACUUUCAACAAUGGAUCUCUUGGCUCUAGCAUCGAUGAAGAACGCGGC